rnacentral:pre_miRNA from 1 species
GAUAUACUUCCUCCGACCCAUAUUACCUGUCGAAAUAUUACAUGUAUUUAGACGCUUUUUAAACGUAGAUAGAUUCAUAUUUGGGCAAAUUUGAGACAAGUAAUAUGGGUCGGAGGGAGUACUUA